UCCGAGUUGACCCCGGCAGUCUCCUACGAGUCCCCGGCUUCACCCGCUGGCAACAUAGGACAAGGGUUGCGCUCGUUGCGGGACUUAACCCAACAUUUCACGACACGAGCUGACGACAGCCAUGCAGCACCUGUGCAUCGGCCCCGAAGGGAAGACAGCUUUCACCGCCGAUCCAAUGCAUGUCAAACCCAGGUAAGGUUCUUCGCGUCGCCUCGAAUUAAGCAACAUGCUCCGCCGCUUGUGCGGGCCCCCGUCAAUUCCUUUGAGUUUUAGCCUUGCGGCCGUACUCCCCAGGCGGGGCACUUAAUGCGUUAGCUGCGGCACGGAACCCGUUGAUAAGGCCCCACACCUAGUGCCCAACGUUUACGGCGUGGACUAC
rnacentral:misc_RNA from 1 species